rnacentral:rRNA from 1 species
CAAUAAGCGGAGGAAAAGAAACCAACAGGGAUUGCCUCAGUAACGGCGAAGUGAAGCGGCAACAGCUCAAAUUUGAAAUCUGGCGGCCUCUGGGCCGUCCGAGUUGUAAUUUGAAGAGGAUGCUUUUGGCGAGGCGCCUUCCGAGUGCCCUGGAACGGGACGCCACAGAGGGUGAGAGCCCCGUAUGGUUGGACGCCGAGCCUCUGUAAAGCUCCUUCGACGAGUCGAGUAGUUUGGGAAUGCUGCUCAAAAUGGGAGGUAAACCCCUUCUAAAGCUAAAUACUGGCCAGAGACCGAUAGCGCACAAGUAGAGUGAUCGAAAGAUGAAAAGCACUUUGAAAAGAGAGUUAAACAGCACGUGAAAUUGUUGAAAGGGAAGCGCUUGCGACCAGACUUGUGCCCGUCGAAUCAGCCGCCGCUCGUCGGCGGCGCACUUCGGCGGGCUCAGGCCAGCAUCAGUUCGCUGCAGGGGGAGAAAGGCGAUGGGAAUGUGGCUCUUCGGAGUGUUAUAGCCCGCCGCGCAAUACCCCUCGGCGGACUGAGGACCGCGCAUCUGCAAGGAUGCUGGCGUAAUGGUCGUCAGCGACCCGUCUUGAAACACGGACCAAGGAGUCGUCCUAAUAUGCGAGUGUUCGGGUGUAAAACCCCUGCGCGUAAUGAAAGUGAACGGAGGUGAGAGCUUCGGCGCAUCAUCGACCGAUCCUGAUGUUCUCGGAUGGAUUUGAGUAAGAGCAUAUUGGGCCGGACCCGAAAGAAGGUGAACUAUGCCUGUAUAGGGUAAAGCCAGAGGAAACUCUGGUGGAGGCUCGCAGCGGUUCUGACGUGCAAAUCGAUUCGUCAAAUAAUGGGCAUGGGGGGCGAAAGACUAAUCGAACCUUCUAGUAGCUGGUUUCGCU